GUUGUUGCGACAGCAUUCCUGCGUAGUACGAGAGGAACCGCAGGUACGGACCAAUGGCACAAUACUUGUUCGAACGAACAGUGGUAUGACGCUACGUCCGUUGGAUUAUGCCUGAACGCCUCUAAGGUCGUAUCCGUGCUGGACUGCAAUGAUAAAUAAGGGGCAAUUUGCAUUGUAUGGCUUCUAAACCAUUAAAAGUUUAUUUUAUAAACGACAAUGGAUGUGAUGCCAAUAUUAUUUAGCAUUAUCUUUGAUCACCUGAUGCUGCGCUAGUUACAUAUUAAAACAUUAUUUAAUACAAACGACAAAGCCUAGAAUCAAUUGUAAACGACUUUUGUAACAAGCAAGGUGUUGUAAGUGGUUGAGCAGCUCAGUGCGAUCCACUGAAGCUUAUCCUUUGCUUGAUGAUUCG
rnacentral:ncRNA from 1 species